ACUCCUACGGGAGGCAGCAGUGGGAAUAUUGCACAAUGGGCGCAAGCCUGAUGCAGCCAUGCCGCGUGUAUGAAGAAGGCCUUCGGGUUGUAAAGUACUUUCAGCAGUGAGGAAGGUGGAGUCGUUAAUAGCGGCCUCAUUUGACGUUAGCUGCAGAAGAAGCACCGGCUAACUCCGUGCCAGCAGCCGCGGUAAUACGGAGGGGGUUAGCGUUGUUCGGAAUUACUGGGCGUAAAGCGCACGUAGGCGGACUGGAAAGUUGGGGUGAAAUCCGGGGCUCAACCUCGGAACUGCCUCCAAAACUAUCAGUCUAGAGUUCGAGAGAGGUGAGUGGAAUUCCGAGUGUAGAGGUGAAAUUCGUAGAUAUUCGGAGGAACACCAGUGGCGAAGGCGGCUCACUGGCUCGAUACUGACGCUGAGGUGCGAAAGUGUGGGAGCAAACAGGAUUAGAUACCCUGGUAGGCUCUG
rnacentral:rRNA from 1 species